AGGCCCAUAGUUCAACGGUAGAACAACGGUCUCCAAAACCGUUGAUGUAGGUUCGAUUCCUACUGGGCCUG
rnacentral:tRNA from 1 species